UGUUAAUAUCUAUAACAAUAAGUAUAUCUAGAAGAAUAAAUAAAUUAUUAUGCACAGGUUUGUGCAUAUUUGGCUCAAUUUUAUUGUUGUUGAUAACUUCUCUCUAAUGAAAAUGCCACGAAUAGAAAAUUUUGGAGGCUGCCCUUUAUAUUCUCAUUUUAAGUUACACAAUCUCUCUUGUCCUCUCCUUUCCAUUUCAGGGUCACGUUUCUCUUUAGAUUACACACAGUGUCUUGUGAUACUGCCUCUGGUCAGCUGAUUUCUCCUUGCCUCAUUCCAACUUCUUUUGUCAGAAAAUUCUUCAAGAUUGCCACAUUCUUUCACAAUAAUAUGGUACCUGAAGAAAGGCAGAGGAGGGGGACCGAAGAACAAGGAAUGUAUAGGACUGCCAUUCCAGUCCAUGGGUAACCUCCAAGUUAGAGGAAGUGAGAAAAUCUAAGAAUCAGAUUCACUCUUUAUAGUGACCAGGGAGAAUGCCAUGCAUACAACAAGACUAUAGUUUGUGUUUCCGAAUUAUGUAGGGAGUUGUCCUUAGAAUAUGUGCUGUAGCAUUACAAAUAUGAAUAUCCGUCUUUGAUAAGUAAAUGUUUGCCCCUUUCCAUCAUGCUUGAAGACAGAUAUUAGAAGAAACAAUGUAUUUUUUUUCAGGACAAUAUUUUUAUUAAGGCACAGGUUGCCCUUCUGGGAAGAAUUAGUGCAAUAGAUAAAAUUUAUGACUUUUAUCUGUUUUAGUGGAACAGAUGCCAUCUCCCUUGAUAGAUAACUGGGAUAUAAAAUUUUUGAAGUGCUGAUUGCAACUAUGCAUUUCCUAAUGGAAUAGAUAUAAAUUUUCAAACCACAAACUCAGGUGUACAAAAACGUAACUACCUUUGCCUUUUUCCUUAGUUUAACUGGAUCUUUACUUUGAGUUAUUAUAUUUGGUAGCAGAAAAUUUAAAUGUUUUUAACUUUAAGUAGAUGUAUACAUUGUAGGGUAUUAUUAAUCAUUUCAGGUUUAAAUUUACUCAAUUCCAGAUUUCCCUGUCCCUGUGUCUUCUCCCCAGCUUGGAACAUUCCAAGCACCUAUAUGCCAUCAUGACAUGGGCAGACAUAUGCUUGGUGGUUCCCAUGCCCCAUCAAAGUGGCCUUCACUGAGCUUUACCUUGUACUAUUUGGCAUUUGUGAUCUUUAUUUUAGUGUCUACCAGGAGGCUGGUGUUCCUAAUGGGUGUACUUCAAAAUAACCGCAUCUUCAUCUUGCACAGCUUGACCAGAAAGCCCCUCCGUGUUUGCUUUCCCAUGGCACUCUAGGGUCAUGGCAACUUGGUGGUUCUUCCUCAGGCCCUCUCUGCCCUGGACAUGUCUGCAUGAUCUAUGUCUUCUCUCUAACCCUACCAAGGCGGUAGAGGCAAUUACUUGAGAAUGUUAUUAAUACUUCCAAGCUUGUUUGGGGAUAUAGUUUUUAUUUAGAAAUUAUUAUUGUUGUUAAGAGGAUACAGUUUGUAUUUGGAAAACAAUCAACAUUUAUCUGGAGUUUCUAUCAGUUUUUCUUCCCUCAAACUCAUGUCAGAAAUGGAACAGAGAUUACAGGAUCCCUUUCUCAGGGAUGCAUGCCAACUUGAAUCUUCCAGUCCUCAUCAAGCCCCUGUACUUGUCAGGACUGGCCCUGCCUGGGGACAGUAUGCCUUACAUGGCUCAAUCUCAUGGUUUGGUUUUCAUGGAGCAAAGGCCAAGAGAUUUUAAAAAGGGAAAGAUUACGUCACACCAUCUGUAUCGUACAGUGACCACCAGUAUAAUUCUACUUAAAAUAAAGCAAAACAAAAGAAGAUAAUUGUGAUUCAUGCUGUGUCCACUGUAAAGCAAAAUAAGAAUUUUCACCCUUUAUGAAAUAUUCAAAUAAUUUUAUGCCAUCUUUUGUAACAUGAAAUGUAACUUGAAACCAUAACAGAGUUGGUUCAGCUGUUUCCUGGAGAAGGGCCUGGCACAGUGUUUGAAUUCUCUAGCAUGAAGAUACCUUCCAGAAGGCCGAGUAGGAGUGGAUUGCCAAGGUUCUGCUUCACGCCUUGAUGAACAUAAACCAACAUUUCUCACCAGUGAAGACUCAGAUUAUGGUGCUGAAAAUAUGUUUCAUCACAAGAUGACAGGUGGCCCAGCAGCAGCAGUUACUGCCUAUUCAUGAACCAUUUUAUCACAGAAUAGAACCACGUACAUAUUGACAAAGACAUCUUUGCUGUUAUUGUGGGAGUCAUGACGUCCUACAACUUCUCUGUAUCUGACGCUUUACCAGUUACAUGAAUCACCAGCUUUUUCUAAGAAAUAAUUUACACUUUUAAUUAUAGAGUCAUUUACAUAAAUUUUUUGGCUAGAUGUUUAUAGCCACAUGUUAGCUGCCAGUCUUUUUAUUUUGACAGUCUCGCUCUAUCACCCAGGCCAGAGUACAGUGACGUGAUCUCCACUCACUGCUGCAACCUCCGCCUCCUGGGUUCAAGCAAAUCUUGUGCCUCAGCCUCCCAAAUAGCUGGGAUUACAGUUGUGUGCCACCACACCCAGCUAAUUUUUGUAUUUUUUGUGUUAGCUGCCAGUCUUGAAGAAUAUUUGACUGCAGAUUCCAAGAUAAUGUUGCCUUCUCAUUGAGACCUACCCCAACUAACCUUUUAAAAAUUGCAACCCUCUUUUCAAUGCUCUGCUAUUUGUUAUUUUUUCCCUUGGCACUUAAUCACUUUUUGAUAUAUUAUGUACAUCAUUUAUUAUAUCUAUUGUUUAUUGUCCAUUUCUCUCCACUAAGAGGUAAGAGCAGAGACCUAUUUUCAUUCACUAAUGUAUCAAAAAUAUCUGACACAUAGUUGAUGCUCAUUAAUAUUUAUUGAAUGAGUGAGUUUGCUUGUAGAUAUCCUCCUAGACAAAGUUGCAAGAUUAACUCAGUGGAGAAUGCUUAUGUCAUUCCUUCUGUGAAAAAGAAUUACUUUGAUCACAUCUCGUCACCUAUGAGAUUCGGUCCAACUCUUCAGUUUCAUAAUUGGCCCUCAAACUGUGUCUUCGAGCUCCUACUUUUCUUUUAUAGUAACUCAAUGUGUAAUCAUAGUGUAACCAUAGCAAAGUAAUAGCUACGUUCCUUCACAUGGUAUUCGUCUUUCUAGGCAGCAAGGCUUUCCCUGUGUAUUAUUUAGCUAUGUGGCAUAAUAAGGCAUAAAAAUCUGUCUCAAAACCCAGGGCAGUGUCUUAAGGCAACACACAUUUUUGGUUUUUCACUUAAGCGUUGUGUGGGGCAGCUUUGAUUCAGGCUGGGCUCAGCUGGGAUCUGCUGGGCUUGGCUCCAGUUGGUAGGUUGGAAUUAGAUCAGCUUUGUGUGCCUCCUCAUUCUUCCUGGACCAGCAGCUAUUCAGAGUAUAUUCUCUUUCUGGCAGAUUAUCGAAUGCAAGGGGCCACAUGCUAGCACAUUUAUGGGCUCUGCUUGCAUCAUGACUGCUCCCUUCCACUGACUAAAGCAAGACACAUAGUCAAGCCCAAUAUCAAUGUAGUGGAGAAAUAUGUUCUAACCGAAGGAGAAGAGAUAGGUAAGUGGUAGAUAUGUUCUACCAAAAGAUAAAAGAAGUAGAUGACAAUAUUUUCUGAUCAACACAGUGUGUAUCUCACACAUUAUUCCUUGUUGGCAUAUCCAUCAUGACCUAGCACAAAUGUUGCCUACUUUAUGAACCCUCUCUAUUGCAGUAGGUAGUCAGGUCUGAAUUUUGAAAUCCAGUGCACUCUGCUUACAGCUAUUCAUUAAGGCAUAGGCUUGUCUCUUCUCCUGGGCUCUAAAGAUCUGAGACAAUUUCCUAUUAAAAUUUCUAUUCCCAAUAUCUACCAUACAACCUAGCAAGUUAUACACUUAAUAGAUGUCAUUUGUAUAAGAAUGUAGAUAAUCCCAUUAAAGAAAACCAACCCCAUUCAGAUUCCAUCAAUGUCAGCUUUGUGUCUAUCUGAAAUGAGAAAACUACCAUAUGAAACUUAGUAGAUAUUGCAUUAAAUGUAGCACAUUUAGGAAGUGUUCCCAUAUAAAACUGACUAGAAGCAGGUGAUUUGAAAUUAAAUUCCAUAAUUAAAUACCAUAUAGCAUGCUAAAGUGUUCAGUACAAUUUGCCAAGGGUUUUUCCACAGAAAGUGAUGGAAAAUUCUUUGGUAGAAAUUGAUGUUGAAUGUUUAGAGCCUUGACAGAAAGAACUCCUUAGCAGUCAAAAAUGUAGAAUAUUCUUCGCUUUCUCUCAGAGUUCUGCUACAAAAAUCUCAGUUUUGUUUCAGUUUUU
rnacentral:lncRNA from 10 species